rfam:Providencia rettgeri DSM 1131 genomic scaffold Scfld5, whole genome shotgun sequence.
AAACCUUUGGGAGAUGGCAUUCCUCCUUAUAUAAAACCGCCCGUAGAGGGCUGAUGAUGCCUACGUUAAC